GACGAACGCUGGCGGCGUGCCUAAUACAUGCAAGUCGAACGCAGUGGGUACGGGUGAGUAACACGUGGGUAACCUCCCAUCAGAGGGGAUAACACUUGGAAACAGGUGCUAAACCGAUACUGAUGGAUGAACCCGCGGUGCAUUAGCUAGUUGGUGCGGUAACGGCUCACCAAGGCCACGAUGCAUAGCCGACCGUGGAUGGUGAUCAGCCACACUGGGACGUAGACACGGCCCAGACUCCUACGGGAGGCAGCAGUAGGGAAUCUUCGGCAAUGGACGAAAGGCUGACCGAGCAACGCCGCGUGAGUGAAGAAGGUUUUCGGAUCGUAAAACUCUGUUGUUAGAGAAGCGGUAUCUAACCAGAAAGCCACGGCUAACUCCGUGCCAGCAGCCGCGGUAAUUC
rnacentral:rRNA from 1 species